UACGUAGGGUGCAAGCGUUGUCCGGAAUUAUUGGGCGUAAAGAGCUUGUAGGCGGUCUGUCGCGUCUGCUGUGAAAAUCCGGGGCUCAACCCCGGACUUGCAGUGGGUACGGGCAGACUAGAGUGUGGUAGGGGAGACUGGAAUUCCUGGUGUAGCGGUGAAAUGCGCAGAUAUCAGGAGGAACACCGAUGGCGAAGGCAGGUCCCUGGGCCACUACUGACGCUGAGAAGCGAAAGCAUGGGGAGCGAACAGG
rnacentral:rRNA from 1 species